GAGAAAUUCCUUAAUAAACAAGAGUUGCAUUAAAUACUCCCUAAAUUUGAAUAAUGAAGAGCAAGACUGAAUAUUCUCACAAAUUUAAAUUUUGCUUUUGGCUGAAUUUUGUUUACUUAAAUUAUCCGGUCACCUUUCGCGCAGGAAAUUGUAAAUUACCAUGAAAAAAGCUUCAACUAAAAGGACAAACAAGUCCAGAUGUUAGUGACCGUUUGUUAGUUCCCAAAUGAUUCUGAAACCAUCAACAAUGCAACGGAAGAGGAGAAUAAUGCAAUUUUGAACUUUAAACUCGUUCCAGUUGAAUGAAAAUUAUUACAUUAAUUUUA